UACGUAGGGUGCGAGCGUUGUCCGGAAUUAUUGGGCGUAAAGAGCUCGUAGGCGGUGUGUCACGUCGUUCGUGAAAACCUGCAGCUUAACUGUGGGCGUGCGGUCGAUACGGGCAUCACUGGAGUUCGGCAGGGGAGACUGGAAUUCCUGGUGUAGCGGUGGAAUGCGCAGAUAUCAGGAAGAACACCUAUGGCGAAGGCAGCUCUCUGGGACGGUACUGACGCUGAGACGCGAAAGCGUGGGGAGCGAACAGG
rnacentral:rRNA from 1 species